GUGAUGGACGCAAUACAUUCGUGUCGCUGCUGCGUGCGGUGUCCUCCGGACAAGGACCUGACGACGCCGUACACACAUCUCGGCAAAACGGAGAUAUAUGCCGACAUGCUCAAACAGUGCUUCGAUAUACAUCUGGUAGUGGGCGGCUCGGGCUCGUGCGGCAUCUGCUCGGCGUGCGUGGGCCGCCUGCGAGACGCGAGCGACUUCAAGCUGCAAGUGCAGCGCAGCCAGACGAAGCUGCAGGCGCGGCUGCAGGGAGAGAGCAUGAAAGGUAGGGAAGCACCACCCAUCAAACAAGUCUUGAAUA